UUGCCAUCAAUCGAGGGCUGCCCCUCUUAAUCAAUUAGUCGACUAAUCGGUCGUUUUGAUCUUAGUCGACUGAGAUCUCUUUAGUUGAUUAGUCCUGUCUGAUGCUGU